rnacentral:rRNA from 1 species
ACGAACGCUGGCGGCGUGCCUAAUACAUGCAAGUCGAACGCUUCUCUUCCCACCGGAGCUUGCUCCACCGGGAAAAGAGGAGUGGCGAACGGGUGAGUAACACGUGGGUAACCUGCCCAUCAGAAGGGGAUAACACUUGGAAACAGGUGCUAAUACCGUAUAACAAUCGAAACCGCAUGGUUUCGUUUUGAAAGGCGCUUUACGGUGCCGCUGAUGGAUGGACCCGCGGUGCAUUAGCUAGUUGGUGAGGUAACGGCUCACCAAGGCCACGAUGCAUAGCCGACCUGAGAGGGUGAUCGGCCACAUUGGGACUGAGACACGGCCCAAACUCCUACGGGAGGCAGCAGUAGGGAAUCUUCGGCAAUGGACGAAAGUCUGACCGAGCAACGCCGCGUGAGUGAAGAAGGUUUUCGGAUCGUAAAACUCUGUUGUUAGAGAAGAACAAGGGUGAGAGUAACUGUUCACCCCUUGACGGUAUCUAACCAGAAAGCCACGGCUAACUACGUGCCAGCAGCCGCGGUAAUACGUAGGUGGCAAGCGUUGUCCGGAUUUAUUCGGCGUAAAGCGAGCGCAGGCGGUUUCUUAAGUCUGAUGUGAAAGCCCCCGGCUCAACCGGGGAGGGUCAUUGGAAACUGGGAGACUUGAGUGCAGAAGAGGAGAGUGGAAUUCCAUGUGUAGCGGUGAAAUGCGUAGAUAUAUGGAGGAACACCAGUGGCGAAGGCGGCUCUCUGGUCUGUAACUGACGCUGAGGCUCGAAAGCGUGGGGAGCAAACAGGAUUAGAUACCCUGGUAGUCCACGCCGUAAACGAUGAGUGCUAAGUGUUGGAGGGUUUCCGCCCUUCAGUGCUGCAGCUAACGCAUUAAGCACUCCGCCUGGGGAGUACGACCGCAAGGUUGAAACUCAAAGGAAUUGACGGGGGCCCGCACAAGCGGUGGAGCAUGUGGUUUAAUUCGAAGCAACGCGAAGAACCUUACCAGGUCUUGACAUCCUUUGACCACUCUAGAGAUAGAGCUUCCCCUUCGGGGGCAAAGUGACAGGUGGUGCAUGGUUGUCGUCAGCUCGUGUCGUGAGAUGUUGGGUUAAGUCCCGCAACGAGCGCAACCCUUAUUGUUAGUUGCCAUCAUUUAGUUGGGCACUCUAGCAAGACUGCCGGUGACAAACCGCAGGAAGGUGGGGAUGACGUCAAAUCAUCAUGCCCCUUAUGACCUGGGCUACACACGUGCUACAAUGGGAAGUACAACGAGUCGCGAAGUCGCGAGGCUAAGCUAAUCUCUUAAAGCUUCUCUCAGUUCGGAUUGUAGGCUGCAACUCGCCUACAUGAAGCCGGAAUCGCUAGUAAUCGCGGAUCAGCACGCCGCGGUGAAUACGUUCCCGGGCCUUGUACACACCGCCCGUCACACCACGAGAGUUUGUAACACCCGAAGUCGGUGAGGUAACCUUUUUGGAGCCAGCCGCCUAAGGUGGGAUAGAUGAUUGGGGUGAAGUCGUAACAAGGUAGCCGUAUCGGAAGGUGCGGCUGGAUCACCUC